rnacentral:rRNA from 1 species
GGGUUGUGAGGUUAAGCGACUAAGCGUACACGGUGGAUGCCCCGCAGUCAGAGGCGAUGAAGGACGUGCUAAUCUGCGAUAAGCGUCGGUAAGGUGAUAUGAACCGUUAUAACCGGCGAUUUCCGAAUGGGGAAACCCAGUGUGAUUCGUCACACUAUCAUUAACUGAAUCCAUAGGUUAAUGAGGCGAACCGGGGAACUGAAACAUCUAAGUACCCUGAGGAAAAGAAAUCAACCGAGAUUCCCCAGUAGCGGCGAGCGAACGGGGAGCAGCCCAGAGCCUGAAUCAGUGUGUGUGUUAGUGGAAGCGUCUGGAAAGGCGCGCGAUACAGGGUGACAGCCCCGUACACAAAAAUGCACAUGCUGUGAGCUCGAUGAGUAGGGCGGGACACGUGGUAUCCUGUCUGAAUAUGGGGGGACCAUCCUCCAAGGCUAAAUACUCCUGACUGACCGAUAGUGAACCAGUACCGUGAGGGAAAGGCGAAAAGAACCCCGGCGAGGGGAGUGAAAAAGAACCUGAAACCGUGUACGUACAAGCAGUGGGAGCACGCUUCGGCGUGUGACUGCGUACCUUUUGUAUAAUGGGUCAGCGACUUAUAUUCUGUAGCAAGGUUAACCGAAUAGGGGAGCCGAAGGGAAACCGAGUCUUAACUGGGCGUUAAGUUGCAGGGUAUAGACCCGAAACCCGGUGAUCUAGCCAUGGGCAGGUUGAAGGUUGGGUAACACUAACUGGAGGACCGAACCGACUAAUGUUGAAAAAUUAGCGGAUGACUUGUGGCUGGGGGUGAAAGGCCAAUCAAACCGGGAGAUAGCUGGUUCUCCCCGAAAGCUAUUUAGGUAGCGCCUCGUGAAUUCAUCUCCGGGGGUAGAGCACUGUUUCGGCAAGGGGGUCAUCCCGACUUACCAACCCGAUGCAAACUGCGAAUACCGGAGAAUGUUAUCACGGGAGACACACGGCGGGUGCUAACGUCCGUCGUGAAGAGGGAAACAACCCAGACCGCCAGCUAAGGUCCCAAAGUCAUGGUUAAGUGGGAAACGAUGUGGGAAGGCCCAGACAGCCAGGAUGUUGGCUUAGAAGCAGCCAUCAUUUAAAGAAAGCGUAAUAGCUCACUGGUCGAGUCGGCCUGCGCGGAAGAUGUAACGGGGCUAAACCAUGCACCGAAGCUGCGGCAGCGACACUAUGUGUUGUUGGGUAGGGGAGCGUUCUGUAAGCCUGUGAAGGUGUACUGUGAGGUAUGCUGGAGGUAUCAGAAGUGCGAAUGCUGACAUAAGUAACGAUAAAGCGGGUGAAAAGCCCGCUCGCCGGAAGACCAAGGGUUCCUGUCCAACGUUAAUCGGGGCAGGGUGAGUCGACCCCUAAGGCGAGGCCGAAAGGCGUAGUCGAUGGGAAACAGGUUAAUAUUCCUGUACUUGGUGUUACUGCGAAGGGGGGACGGAGAAGGCUAUGUUGGCCGGGCGACGGUUGUCCCGGUUUAAGCGUGUAGGCUGGUUUUCCGUGCAAAUCCGGAAAAUCAAGGCUGAGGCGUGAUGACGAGGCACUACGGUGCUGAAGCAACAAAUGCCCUGCUUCCGUGAAAGCCUCUAAGCAUCAGGUAACAUCAAAUCGUACCCCAAACCGACACAGGUGGUCAGGUAGAGAAUACCAAGGCGCUUGAGAGAACUCGGGUGAAGGAACUAGGCAAAAUGGUGCCGUAACUUCGGGAGAAGGCACGCUGAUAUGUAGGUGAAGCGACUUGCUCGUGGAGCUGAAAUCAGUCGAAGAUACCAGCUGGCUGCAACUGUUUAUUAAAAACACAGCACUGUGCAAACACGAAAGUGGACGUAUACGGUGUGACGCCUGCCCGGUGCCGGAAGGUUAAUUGAUGGGGUUAGCGGUAACGCGAAGCUCUUGAUCGAAGCCCCGGUAAACGGCGGCCGUAACUAUAACGGUCCUAAGGUAGCGAAAUUCCUUGUCGGGUAAGUUCCGACCUGCACGAAUGGCGUAAUGAUGGCGGAGCUGUCUCCACCCGAGACUCAGUGAAAUUGAACUCGCUGUGAAGAUGCAGUGUACCCGCGGCAAGACGGAAAGACCCCGUGAACCUUUACUAUAGCUUGACACUGAACAUUGAGCCUUGAUGUGUAGGAUAGGUGGGAGGCUUUGAAGUGUGGACGCCAGUCUGCAUGGAGCCGACCUUGAAAUACCACCCUUUAAUGUUUGAUGUUCUAACGUUGACCCGUGAUCCGGGUUGCGGACAGUGUCUGGUGGGUAGUUUGACUGGGGCGGUCUCCUCCUAAAGAGUAACGGAGGAGCACGAAGGUUGGCUAAUCCUGGUCGGACAUCAGGAGGUUAGUGCAAUGGCAUAAGCCAGCUUGACUGCGAGCGUGACGGCGCGAGCAGGUGCGAAAGCAGGUCAUAGUGAUCCGGUGGUUCUGAAUGGAAGGGCCAUCGCUCAACGGAUAAAAGGUACUCCGGGGAUAACAGGCUGAUACCGCCCAAGAGUUCAUAUCGACGGCGGUGUUUGGCACCUCGAUGUCGGCUCAUCACAUCCUGGGGCUGAAGUAGGUCCCAAGGGUAUGGCUGUUCGCCAUUUAAAGUGGUACGCGAGCUGGGUUUAGAACGUCGUGAGACAGUUCGGUCCCUAUCUGCCGUGGGCGCUGGAGAACUGAGGGGGGGCUGCUCCUAGUACGAGAGGACCGGAGUGGACGCAUCACUGGUGUUCGGGUUGUCAUGCCAAUGGCACUGCCCGGUAGCUAAAUGCGGAAGAGAUAAGUGCUGAAAGCAUCUAAGCACGAAACUUGCCCCGAGAUGAGUUCUCCCUGACUCCUUGAGAGUCCUGAAGGAACGUUGAAGACGACGACGUUGAUAGGCCGGGUGUGUAAGCGCAGCGAUGCGUUGAGCUAACCGGUACUAAUGAACCGUGAGGCUUAACCUUACAACGCCGAAG